rnacentral:tRNA from 1 species
UCCGUACUGGUGUAUCGGUAACAUUUCCGCCUCUCAUCUGAUCGCGGUAGCGCAGGGUUCGACUCCCUGGUACGGAA